rnacentral:snRNA from 1 species
AGAUUAGCAUGGCCCCUGUGCAAGGAUGAC